GCGCGCGCGCGCGCGGCGGGCCCAGGUACGCGGACAAGAUGGCGGCGGCAGCGGUCGACAGCGCGAUGGAGGUGGUGCCGGCGCUGGCGGAGGAGGCCGCGCCCGAGGCGGCGGGCCUCAGCUGCCUGGUCAACCUGCCCGGCGAGGUGCUGGAGUACAUCCUGUGCAGCGGCUCGCUGACGGCCGCCGACAUCGGCCGCGUCUCCAGCACCUGCCGGCGGCUGCGCGAGCUGUGCCAGAGUAGCGGGAAGGUGUGGAAGGAGCAGUUCCGGGUGAGGUGGCCUUCCCUUAUGAAACACUACAGCCCCACCGACUACGUCAAUUGGUUGGAGGAGUAUAAAGUUCGGCAGAAAGCUGGGUUAGAAGCCCGGAAGAUUGUAGCCUCCUUCUCAAAGAGGUUCUUUUCAGAGCACGUCCCUUGUAAUGGUUUUAGUGACAUAGAGAAUCUAGAGGGACCAGAGAUAUUUUUUGAGGAUGAACUGGUGUGUAUCCUAAAUAUGGAAGGAAGAAAAGCUCUGACUUGGAAGUACUACGCUAAAAAAAUUCUUUACUACCUACGCCAACAGAAAAUUUUAAAUAACCUAAAGGCAUUUCUUCAGCAGCCUGAUGACUAUGAAUCGUACCUUGAAGGCGCUGUAUAUAUUGACCAGUACUGCAAUCCUCUCUCUGACAUCAGCCUCAAAGAUAUCCAGGCCCAGAUUGACAACAUCGUAGAGCUGGUCUGCAAAACCCUCCGGGGCAUGAACAGUCGCCACCCCAGCUUGGCCUUCAAGGCAGGUGAAUCCUCCAUGAUAAUGGAGAUAGAACUCCAGAGCCAGGUGCUGGACGCCAUGAACUACGUCCUUUAUGACCAGCUGAAGUUUAAGGGGAACCGAAUGGAUUACUAUAAUGCCCUAAACUUAUACAUGCACCAGGUUUUGAUUCGAAGAACAGGAAUUCCGAUCAGCAUGUCUCUGCUCUACUUGACAAUUGCCCGGCAGUUGGGGGUCCCACUGGAACCUGUCAACUUCCCCAGUCACUUCUUGUUAAGGUGGUGCCAAGGUGCAGAAGGGGCAACCCUGGACAUCUUUGACUACAUCUACAUAGACGCUUUUGGGAAAGGGAAGCAGCUGACAGUGAAAGAGUGUGAAUACCUGAUCGGCCAGCACGUGACGGCAGCACUGUACGGGGUGGUCAACGUGAAGAAGGUGUUACAGCGAAUGGUGGGAAACCUUUUAAGCCUGGGAAAGCGGGAAGGCAUCGACCAGUCUUACCAACUCCUGCGAGACUCCCUGGAUCUGUACCUGGCGAUGUACCCGGACCAGGUGCAGCUUCUCCUCCUGCAAGCCAGGCUCUAUUUCCACCUGGGCAUCUGGCCAGAGAAGUCUUUCUGUCUUGUCUUGAAGGUGCUUGACAUCCUCCAGCACAUUCAAACCCUAGACCCCGGGCAGCACGGGGCGGUGGGCUAUCUGGUGCAGCACACGUUAGAGCACAUCGAGCGCAAGAAGGAGGAGGUGGGUGUGGAGGUGAAGCUGCGCUCCCACGAGAAGCACAGAGACGUCUGCUACUCCAUUGGGCUCAUUAUGAAGCAUAAGAGGUGAGUGCCCGUGGCGGCCAUCCCCACGCGGCUGCAGAGGACACGCGUGCCUGCCAGCACGCAUCCCGGGAGCCGCUGCGACGGACUGGCCACCGCGGGAGCCGCCCGAGGCCGAGCUGGUCUGAACCGCAUCUACCCUUUUCGUUUUGUAAGAAGAGUCUCGCUGUCCUCGCUCAGGGUCUUCUAAUGGGAGAGCUGUAAGCUGGGGGGGUUUCCGCUCAUUUCCUCGUUGUCCUGAAGCUUCGUUUAUCUCCAUCCCUGUGAAUCCGAGUUGCAGGUAGGGCUUGCCCGUCUGUAGGGCAAGCUCCUGGUCGAUUGACUAGGCAAAACUCAACCGCGUCCACAGCAACAGUGCCGGUUACGAUUUACGUGCCACCGGCAGGCUGGGAGCGGAGGGUCCUGUUCUCCCCUACGUGUUAUUGCCAGACCUUUAAAAAUGCACUUACAGAGUAAAUGGCGACUGGUAUUUCAUUGUGGUUUUCGUUUGCAUUUCCCCGGUUGACUACGCGGAUGGGCUUGUGAACCUGGAAAAGAAGCUCAUUCAAGUUUCCUUUUAUUAAGCGCAUCUUCAAGUCUUCCUGUUUUUCAUUUGAGUUAUUCAUCUUUCUUAGGGGUUUUCAGUCCUUUAUCCUGUUACUUGUGUCUGUGUGCAUAUACGUUGCCAAUAUCUUUUCCCAGUUUGGGGCUAGUAUUUUUUAUCCUUUUAGUGCAUUCUUUUUUUUCUUCAACUUUAAUAUGGAAAUUUCAAGCAUAUAUGAGUAGAGACGAGGAUAGUGAACCAGACGAUGCUCCCAUAACCAGCUUCAACAGUUGUCGUGAGGGUCUGCCUUCACUCUUUUCAUCCCCCUAACCCCGCCCCUCCCUGGAAGCUGGUACCAGAUGUCAUUCCAUCUGUGGCUCACCUGUAGCUGUUUCAGUGUGUGUACCUAAAAGGUAAGGCCUUGCUGUCUCCUUUAAAAGUACAUUUACCAUCCUCUUGUAUCUAAGAAAAAAACAACUGCUUCACCUCCUCACUUAGGUCUAGUCAGGGUUCCUGUUUCCCCAGUUGUCCUGUAGUUUUUUAAUAGUCUGCUUGAAUCUGGGUCCUUUUAAUACUAUUAAAUUGAGUACUCUUUUCCCUUAUGGCUGUAUUUUUCAUAUCUGGUUUAAGAACUCUUUUUAUGUCCUGUGUCAUGAAGCUAGCCUACAAAUUCUGUGUUUUCUAUCCAGGCCUUUGUCCCCCUAGGACACUGUGCGCUGUUCUCAGGCCUGGGUCCUGAUCCCUUUUUCCAUUUGGAUAACCAGUUGUCCUGUGAGUCUCCGUUGAAGUCUGUUUUUUUCCACCUGAAGUGCUAUCUUGAUAAUAAGAGGGGUUUGUAAAGGGAGCCAAGAGUGUCCUGAAAAAUGCUUAUUAACAGGGAUAAAAGCAGGUAUGGCUAUAACUGUGUGAUCUAUGGCUGGGACCCUACCUGCAUGAUGGGACACGAAUGGAUCCGAAACAUGAACGUCCACAGCCUGCCUCAUGGCCAUCAUCAGCCUUUCUAUAAUGUUCUGGUGGAGGAUGGUU